rnacentral:rRNA from 1 species
CCCCAGUAACGGCGAGUGAAGCGGCAACAGCUCAAAUUUGAAAUCUGGCCCCUCCGGGGUCCGAGUUGUAAUUUGCAGAGGAUGCUUCGGCGUCGGCCCCGGGUCAAGUCCCCUGGAACGGGGCGUCCUAGAGGGUGAGAACCCCGUACUCACCCGGGUGCCCGUCGCCGUGUGAAGCUCCUUCGACGAGUCGAGUUGUUUGGGAAUGCAGCUCUAAGCGGGAGGUAAAUUCCUUCUAAAGCUAAAUACCGGCCAGAGACCGAUAGCGCACAAGUAGAGUGAUCGAAAGAUGAAAAGCACUUUGGAAAGAGAGUUAAAAAGCACGUGAAAUUGUUGAAAGGGAAGCUCUUGCCGCCAGACUUGCCGCGGUUGCUCAGCCGUCCCCAGGGACGGUGCACUCUUCCGUCGGCAGGCCAGCGUCGGUUCGGGCGGCCGGAUAAAGGCCCCGGGAAUGUAGCACCCCUCGGGGUGUGUUAUUAUAGCCCGGGGCGUAAUGCGGCCAGCCCGGUCCGAGGAACGCGUUCGCGAGGACGCUGGCGUAAUGGCUGCAAGCGACCCGUCUUGAAACACGGACCAAGGAGUCUAACAUCUGUGCGAGUGUUUGGGCGUCAAACCCAUGCGCGUAAUGAAAGUGAACGGAGGUGGGAACCCCCUCGAGGGGCGCACCAUCGACCGAUCCUGAUGUCUUCGGAUGGAUUUGAGUAAGAGCAUAGCUGUUGGGACCCGAAAGAUGGUGAACUAUUCCCGGAUAGGGUGAAGCCAGAGGAAACUCUGGUGGAGGCUCGCAGCGGUUCUGACGUGCAAAUCGAUCGUCAAAUCUAGGAAUAGGGGCGAAAGACUAAUCGAACC